rnacentral:rRNA from 1 species
GACAGAGGGUGCAAACGUUGUUCGGAAUUACUGGGCGUAAAGCGCGUGUAGGCUGCUUCAUAAGUCGGGUGUGAAAGCCCUGGGCUCAACCUAGGAAGUGCACUCGAAACUGCGAAGCUUGAGUCCUGGAGAGGAAGGCGGAAUUCUCGGUGUAGAGGUGAAAUUCGUAGAUAUCGAGAGGAACACCGGUGGCGAAGGCGGUUCUCUGGGCCUGUACUGACGCUGAGGAGCGAAAGCGUGGGGAGCGAACAGG